AACGAACGCUGGCGGCAUGCCUAACACAUGCAAGUCGAACGAGACCUUCGGGUCUAGUGGCGCACGGGUGCGUAACGCGUGGGAACCUGCCCUUAGGCUCGGAAUACUACUCUGACAGGGGUGCUAACACCGGGUAACGUCCUCUGACCAAAGAUUCAUCGUCUUUGGAUGGGCCCGCGUUGGUUUAGCUAGUUGGUAGUGUAAAAGCCUAUGACGGCUACGAUCGAUAGCUGGUCUGAGAGGAUGAGCAGCGACACUGAGACUGGGACGCGGCCGAGACUACUACGGGAGGCAGGAGUGGGUGAUACUGCACAAUGGCGGAAGUCCUGAUCCAGCAAGGCCGGGUGAGUGAUGAUGUCCGGAGGGUAGUAAAGCUCUUUUACCCGGGACGAUAAUGACAGUACCGGGAGAAUAAGCUCCGGCUAACUCCGUG
rnacentral:rRNA from 1 species